GUCUACGGCCAUACCACCCUGAACGCGCGCGAUCUCAUCUGAUCUCGGAAGCUAAGCAGGGUCGGGCCUGGUUCGUACUUGGAUGGGAGAUAAGGGCAAUGCUCAUGAAGGAAAAAACAAUCAGUAGUUU
rnacentral:rRNA from 1 species